UGGGGAAUAUUGCACAAUGGGCGCAAGCCUGAUGCAGCCAUGCCGCGUGUAUGAAGAAGGCCUUCGGGUUGUAAAGUACUUUCAGCGGGGAGGAAGGGAGUAAAGUUAAUACCUUUGCUCAUGACGUUACCCGCAGAAGAAGCACCGGCUAACUCCGUGCCAGCAGCCGCGGUAAUACGGAGGGUGCAAGCGUUAAUCGGAAUUACUGGGCGUAAAGCGCACGCAGGCGGGUUGUUAAGUCAGAUGUGAAAUCCCCGGGCUCAACCUGGGAACUGCAUCUGAUACUGGCAAGCUUGAGUCUCGUAGAGGGGGGUAGAAUUCCAGGUGUAGCGGUGAAAUGCGUAGAGAUCUGGAGGAAUACCGGUGGCGAAGGCGGCCCCCUGGACGAAGACUGACGCUCAGGUGCGAAAGCGGGGGGAGCAAACAGG
rnacentral:rRNA from 1 species